rnacentral:lncRNA from 1 species
CAUCAAACUCUCUAAAAGGUAACUCUAUCAAGUCACCUAAAAAGGUAUGACCUUGCACACAUAUAGGACAAUCUCUAUAAACUCUAUUCACAAUCACAAGAUGUCCUAAGGGAUUGGUCACUGCUAUGUCAUGUUCUAAGGGUUCUACUUGAAUUCCCUUCUCAUUACUGAUGGGUAUGCUGAUGUAUGAAUGUGUGGAACCAGGAUCAAUUAAUGCAUAAACAUAUUUGCCAAAG